rnacentral:rRNA from 1 species
GACGAACGCUGGCGGCGUGCUUAACACAUGCAAGUCGAACGGAAAGGCCCAGCUUGCUGGGUACGCGAGUGGCGAACGGGUGAGUAACACGUGGGUGAUCUGCCCCUGCACUCUGGGAUAAGCCUGGGAAACUGGGUCUAAUACCGGAUAUGACCAACUGUCUCAUGGUGGUUGGUGGAAAGCUUUUGCGGUGUGGGAUGGGCCCGCGGCCUAUCAGCUUGUUGGUGGGGUAAUGGCCUACCAAGGCGACGACGGGUAGCCGACCUGAGAGGGUGAUCGGCCACACUGGGGACUGAGACACGGCCCAGACUCCUACGGGAGGCAGCAGUGGGGAAUAUUGCACAAUGGGCGCAAGCCUGAUGCAGCGACGCCGCGUGAGGGGAUGACGGCCUU